rnacentral:rRNA from 1 species
UUUCAUAAGUAGAAUAGGGUUACUAAUCUGAGAUAAAAAAGAAGUAAGCAGAAAACUUUUAAAUUAAAUAGUAAAAACUUGGCUCUGAUUUUUGGUAUGGCGUGCACUAAGAGAUACACAUGGUUUUUAUUGAAAGAGGUGAGGUGGAAGGCAAGAUAUUGUAAUAAGUAUAAAACUAUAAUAAUACAGCUUUCUAGGAUAUUAUAGUAAAUAUCAUGUCCUGAAAUGCCCACUAACACCAGUGUUGGAGAUUAAGAAAAAAGCGAAAGCUUGUAUUAGCUUAGUGAACAAAAUUUGGUUAAUUUGGUGCCAGCAUCCGCGGUUAAACCAAGAAAUUUAGUCAUUCUUUUAUGGUAAAAAGACAGUUAAGUAAAUGUAGAAAAGUCGUUAGAUCUUUAGUAUAGGAGUAAAAUCCAUGUACUAAAAGUUAUAUCAGAUAUGAUUUAGUUAAGAUGCUGAAGCUGUGAUAGCUUUAAGGGAAACUGGGAUUGGAUACCCCAUUAUUUUUAGUUGUAAAUUUAGUUUAAGCUUACCAGAGUACUACGAAUAAAAAGUUUAAAACUCAAAGAGCUUGGCGGUGUUUUAGACCUCUCAGGGGAACCUGUCUCAUAAUCGACAAUCCACGUUAAACCUGACCUUUGAUAGUAAUUCAGCUUGUAUACCGUCGUCGUCAGGUAACUUCUUAAAAUAUAGUAGUUAGCUUGAAAAUUAUAUUAAUUAAAACGUCAGAUCAAGGUGCAGCUAAUGAAGGGGUGAAGAUGGGUUACAAUUACACAUUUGUAAACACGAAAAACAUGUGAAAAAAUGUCUUAAAGGAGGACUUGAAAGUAAUUUUGAUUAUAUAAGCAGAAUGAAUAAGGCUCUGAAACGUGCACACAUCGCCCGUCGCUCUCGUUGAAAAAUGAGAUAAGUCGUAACAUAGUAGGGGUAAUGGAAAUUGUUCCUAGGCUG